rnacentral:lncRNA from 1 species
CGUUGGUAGAAGUUCAUUUUGUAUAAAGCGCGGUCAACGCUUUCACAACCCUAUUAAAUUACUAAAAGAAGUAACCGAUUUCUAUCAUGUUUUUCUUUUAUUUACCUGUGCGCUUUAUUGAGGAAGCUCGUGUCAUCAUGAUACUUACAUUUUAUUUGGAAAUGAAAUUUCAGAUUGACGAGAGAUGUUAGCCAUUCAAAAUUACGUAUUAUAAUGAAAAAUACAUGUAGUGUAAUCAUACAGAAUUAUUU